AGCAAAAUGGCAAAAGCUGGCUUGAUCUCGAUGUUCAGUAUGCAUAGAGACUGCGAAAGCACGAUCUAACAUCUGUAAUCCGUUAACAGUGGAAGAUAAAUUACC
rnacentral:ncRNA from 1 species